rnacentral:rRNA from 1 species
AUUGAACGCUGGCGGCAUGCCUUACACAUGCAAGUCGAACGGUAACAGGUCUUCGGAUGCUGACGAGUGGCGAACGGGUGAGUAAUACAUCGGAACGUGCCUGGUAGUGGGGGAUAACUACUCGAAAGAGUGGCUAAUACCGCAUGAGAUCUACGGAUGAAAGCAGGGGAUCGCAAGACCUUGUGCUACUAGAGCGGCCGAUGGCAGAUUAGGUAGUUGGUGGGAUAAAAGCUUACCAAGCCGACGAUCUGUAGCUGGUCUGAGAGGACGAUCAGCCACACUGGGACUGAGACACGGCCCAGACUCCUACGGGAGGCAGCAGUGGGGAAUUUUGGACAAUGGGCGCAAGCCUGAUCCAGCAAUGCCGCGUGCAGGAUGAAGGCCUUCGGGUUGUAAACUGCUUUUGUACGGAACGAAAAGCCCCGGGUUAAUACCCUGGGGUCAUGACGGUACCGUAAGAAUAAGCACCAGCUAACUACGUGCCAGCCGCCGCGGUAA